rnacentral:lncRNA from 1 species
GUUUUGUUAAGAUGCACUUUUGUAUUGGAUGUUGUAAGUAAUUGAAAUUGUCACUAUGCUGAAUUUCUUCCACAGAAGAAUGAGAGAUGUGACUCGAAGAUUUAUUAGGCAUACGUAUGUAUUAUAUAUCCUGUUCAACACUCAGUGUCCUAUAGAGCCACACACGCACCACAAACCACUAUUAAGGACUGUGGAUUAUGAUUAAUCAACCCAUUGUUGAAUGUUCCAGAACAGCCGCGGUAUCCAAACGGUUGUGCAGAUGUGGGAGGAGCAUUUAACCUCAUUGAAACAUAACAAACUGCCAAGGAACAAAGAACCUGUGCUGUAUCCUGCAGUCAUGAUUGGAUCUCUGGAUCAGAGUUGGAGGUGACAGUCAGAGCAGGAGACAACAUCACUCUCUACUGUGACUGCAAGUUAUCAAGUGGAGUUUACGUAGUGUGGUACAGGAACUGCUCUCAUGACAACCAGCCUUCUCUUGUCCUUGAAAGUAUUUCAUGGACAAAAACAAAAACCACUACGAUUGAAAACUUCCUGAAUCCCCUCCCUCGUUUCCACUUUGUGAAAAACUAUUCCUCUGACUCCUACGACCUGCUGAUCAGUAACAUCACUGACUCUGAUGAUGGCCUCUACUACUGUGGAACUGAAGAGAAUAAGCUGGAGGAUGAACAAUACAUUACUAGCAGAUCUGUUUACCGAUAUGGCAACACAACAACAAGGAUCUUAUUCAGUAAGUAUUAUGAUCUGAC